ensembl:lncRNA
CAUUCUUAAACGAAGUAGUUUAAGCCACUACAUUGUCCGAUGUCGCCCCCUGUUGGAAGAAAGAACCGGCUGGCCGCACGCAGAUCCUGACAAAGAGAUACCCGGUCCCUUACCCGACCUAGUUGUAGGCCUAUCUGUGGUUUCAGGGUCUCCACAAACCUGUUAGGAACCCCACCCAAACUCCCUGUUCUGAAUCCCCAGCUCCACACCCUCCAAACUCCAUGUGGUUCAGCCCGAGUGUUUUAUUCACGGUGUCGGAGGCCUGACGGAGAGGUCCAUUACAGAGGCAGUGAGGCUCAUUGCUGGAGUGGUGUUGUCUCUACGGGAUAAAUCAUCUGUAGGCCUACGUGACAAAGGCCCACCAUAGACACAAGUUAAACGAGCUUGCGCGUUCUGGAGAUGGCUCAUGAAGAAUCUCUCAAACACAGCUCCUUAUAUGAAUCCUCUGAUCCAUUUCCUGCCCGGCUGCCCUUCAGUAAGAAGAAGCGUGUGGAGUGUAAGGCCUGGAUUACCAACUUCACGAUGAAGAACACAACCCGUCCGGUUUAGUCUCUAGGCCAACCUCCCAUGGUUGGUGUGGUACUACAAAGCAUAAAGCUCAGUUCACUCUGCCUUUGUGAUCUGGGUGGUUGUGCUUUCACUCAUGCAGGAGUAACUGUACAGCCAGGCCUCCUACAACUACUUGGUCGACAAGGAGCUGACCAGUGCAACGAGAGGUCCAUGAGAGCGGUGAGCCAUCAGGGCCGGAGACGUUCACGUUAAGCACAACCUUUUAGACGAAGACACUGCAAACCACCAACCAUCUCAAACAAUCAAAAAAAGUGCUGCUCGGGUUUCAUGCCGGGCCAGAGGAAGGUGUGUCUCAGGAGGAAUGACAAGCAUGAGGUGAAGUUGUCAACAUGCGACUCUGUGGUGCCUCCAUCAGGACGGAGACAGGAAGAAGGGCAGGUCUACGACUGUGAAGCAGCCCAAUGGCAAGUAGGGCUGGGAGUGAAACAACAAUAGUUGUUGUUAAUGCAGCAUCGUCGAUUAACCAGGAACAUACAGGUGUCAAAUACCCAUAGAAAACACUCCAUGGCUUGCUCUGCCCCUGUUAUAACUACAGCUGCUGUAUGUAUGUAGCAUAGAAUACGGUCUCCCCCCAUCGGAUGCUGGUUUUUCCAAGAACAGGAGACCAUGGAUGCAGUGCACAAAAACAAUGUUGUUUGCUGGUUCUGAGGCAGCAUGGACAGAUAAAACCCUGUUUCUGUAUUUUUACACAAUGUUGUUAGAAUUGUAUGAUUUAUCAUUCAGAUCUUUCUUUAUAUGGCCCUUAUGCAGACUAAAAGGGCAUGUAAAAAUAUGUUGAUAUCGACACUGUAUUGGGGGGCUUUACUGUAAUAAAGUACUUUUGCUGAGCUUAAAUAUUGAGUCUGCUCGGGUUUCCAGCCAGUAUUCUCAGAUGAUCCAUUUUUUACAAAAAACGAUUAUCAUUAUUAUUAUCAUAAUCUUAUAUUUAAUUGAUGCCAAGGGCAGUUCCAACUGGUUUCUGGUCUAAAGUCUAACCGGGUGCGAGCAAGUAGUUCAGGUUUAAUUAACAGGUAAUCAGUGGGUUGCACAGCGUUUACAAGUUGUAUCUCUAGAUUAAAGAUUUGUGUCAUGCCCUUUACAGCAGGGCACACAACAAUAAAUGUAGUCCAGGCAAAUAACAACAGCACUAGGGCCUUCUGGCACUAAAUUAUGCUGUAGUUACCAGAAUCAUAAACCUUUAGACAAAAUGAGGUUUAUACCUCAAAUGUAGGUACAAUACAUUGAUGCUG